ensembl:ncRNA C05A9.10 ncRNA
CUUGUGUGCGUAACGCGUUGUGACCACGGAAUUACACGGACUUGCACAAUUUUAUUGUCUUCUCACCAGGGACAUCACAAACCGGCCAACGAAACUCUAUGUAGAGAUACGAGAGGGAUGGACAUCAUCGUAUGGCCCUCCUCUCGUUGUCUUAAAAUUAGUUUUUUGGCUUUUGCCUUUUUUUCUUGAGCUUUCAAAAGCUUUGCCAUCUUCUUUU